ensembl:antisense 4933432K03Rik RIKEN cDNA 4933432K03 gene
AACAGUUGAGACUAUGGACAGGGGAGCCAGCCAGAAACAUUUCUUAAAUCUCUGCCUUUGCCUCUUUCAAACUGUAUGCCCUAGGUGGUAUGGCAGAGUUCCAGGCCUAGCGGCUGCUCCCUGCACCUGCCCCCUCCACAUCCAAUUUCUUUGCAAUGGCCUAAAAAGCUAACCAAGCUGAAAUAGCUCAUUCCAAGGCUCUCAAACUCUGGCACCGUCAUUCAGUGUUUGCAGAGACCUAGUCUCAUCCUGGCCACUCACCACUUCCCAUCUGUUGGGAGCACUGGGCUGCGGUGUCUUUGAUGCUCACCAUCCCGUUGGCCUUGAGAAAGCAUGCAAUGACAUAACAAAGAAGAGAGCCCUCACCAAGAGUUAAGAAUGCUGGCACCUGAUCUUGGAUUUCCAGUCUCCAUAACUGUGACAAAUGCAUGUUUGCUGUUCAAGCCACCUGCUCAGUGAUGUUCUGUUAAAGUAGCCUGAACUGAUGGGGACAGUUCUGAGCCAAACUCAGGAGCCAAGUAGUUCGGAGGCCAGCUGGCCAGUGCCAAGUGGAGAAUUCUGGAAUUAUGAAAAGCCAGAGUUGUCAUAAGGAGUGGGAAGUAACGGCAGAAUGGGCAAGGAAUGGCAGUGCUCACGUUCACUGUGUAAGCCGUUUAAUGCCUGUGGUUCUAUCCCACUCCGAGGGCCUCUUAAUUUAAGAUGUGGAACCAGCCAAGAAGCAGUGAGGAAGGAGAAAUUAGGAAGAGCGAGCUGUAAGGAAGUCUACCAUGGAGCUCUUCUCCUUCGGGCAGUUCUCUGCUGAGUUCUGAAUCUGUUUUCCACUGUAAAAUCAGACCUUUCCAUCCAGCACCCUCUGCCUACCCUUUGCCUUCCUUUCUCUCUUUCUCAUGCCCUGUAGAACCUGGAGUUACUCUCUUACACCACCAGGUGGCAACAAUGCUUCGGGGAGUCAAACCCUAGAGGUAAUUAAUCAUCAUCGGAGCACAACUCUGGGUAGGUAAGCAGGUUGUGCUUACAUUAUCUCAUUUAAACUUCUUGGCACUCAAAGGAAUAAAUGCUACUAUUAUCUGUGAUUUACAGAGCAGAUAUCUUUGGCUCCACAACCUUCUAUCACUUUCUUGUGGCUCCCUCUAGGAGCUGAAUAAUGACCCUUUUGAAGUUGGACAGAGGCAAUGCUCUGAGGCAAGUGCUUUACCAAGAGAGCCCUUCCUCUACCUUGUCUGCCAAAAUGUUUUACAGCCAGUUGGAUUGAACCCUCAAAGCAACCCUGUAGACCGUGCAGUGUUAGCAUCCCCAUGCCAUGGGCAAGUUUGCUGAGGUACAGAGUUGCUGUUCACUUAUGUCUGGCUGGGUGACAACCCUAAAGCCAAGAUCAGAAAUGGCCUGAGCUUCCUAGGUGCUUUGCCUAGGAUUCAAAGUGGCAAUGAGGGAGAUCUAUAUCCUUGGCAUCUUGUGAAGAUGGCAGGAUAUCUCAGAAAGAGCGAGAUAAACCUAAGAGACUCCCCAAGUUCUUUCAAGCAGGAAGAACCCCAAAUUUUGACCCCAAGCCCUAGAUUUGGUCCUAUUUUAGGGACCAAGUGGACGGUUGCCUCAGAUGUCUGGGAUUGCUUGUUUUAUCCACAAAAUGAUCGAGUAGACCCCAUCUGGAGGCUGCAGACUCCUCAUGCUCACAGAACAACAAAGCAAUGAGCAGUGAGGGUCAGACAGGGAUGGUGGCAAACUGUUGACUAAUGCCCAUUGUAAGAAGCAGUUCUAGCUUAUGACUGCCAUACUGGGUAUUGUUGCCAAUCCCCUGAUCUGCCACAAGUUACAGAAAUCCAAAGCUUUAUGCAGUAUCUAUUUAGGGAAAUGUUAGCAACGAUUUAAGUUUUAACAACAAUCCAGAAACUGAUGAAACAUACAUGCAGGGGGAGGUGGAAGGAGGGGUGCCGAUUUGAUGAGUAAGCUCCUGUUGACUGUGUUUGAGAAUAUCUUUGGUUCCAUCUAUUUCUGAGGUCUUCUUGCUCUCUGAGCAUUAAGAGGCAUGGUAUCAGCUAAGUUGCCCCAAGGAAAGAAAAUAGAUUGAGAAGAAGAGAGACCUGUAGGGAAGGUGUCUCUGGAACUCUUCGUAGGGCAGUAAACCCCCAUAAGCAGCUCUUAUGUUUGUUCACUCCCAGAGCCUCCUGGGAACUUUGCAAGAUGGUCAGAUUCAUCUGAACCUUGGUGUCUCUGGUACUUACACACCAAAGCUUAAGAACUG